UGGGGAAUUUUGGACAAUGGGGGCAACCCUGAUCCAGCCAUUCCGCGUGAGUGAAGAAGGCCUUCGGGUUGUAAAGCUCUUUCAGCAGGAACGAAACGGUGGUCCCUAAUACGGGUUACUAAUGACGGUACCUGAAGAAGAAGCACCGGCUAACUACGUGCCAGCAGCCGCGGUAAUACGUAGGGUGCGAGCGUUAAUCGGAAUUACUGGGCGUAAAGCGUGCGCAGGCGGUUAUGCAAGACAGAUGUGAAAUCCCCGGGCUCAACCUGGGAACUGCAUUUGUGACUGCAUAGCUAGAGUACGGUAGAGGGGGAUGGAAUUCCGCGUGUAGCAGUGAAAUGCGUAGAUAUGCGGAGGAACACCAGUGGCGAAGGCGGAUCUCUGGACAAGUACUGACGCUGAGGCACGAAAGCCAGGGGAGCAAACGGG
rnacentral:rRNA from 1 species